rnacentral:rRNA from 1 species
AGCGGCGGACGGGUGAGUAAUGCUUGGGAAUCUGCCCAAUAGUGGGGGAUAACGUGUGGAAACGCACGCUAAUACCGCAUACGUCCUACGGGAGAAAGCAGGGGAUCUUCGGACCUUGCGCUAUUGGAUGAGCCCAAGUCAGAUUAGCUAGUUGGUGGGGUAAUGGCUCACCAAGGCGACGAUCUGUAGCUGGUCUGAGAGGAUGAUCAGCCACACUGGGACUGAGACACGGCCCAGACUCCUACGGGAGGCAGCAGUGGGGAAUAUUGCACAAUGGGCGAAAGCCUGAUGCAGCCAUGCCGCGUGUGUGAAGAAGGCUCUAGGGUUGUAAAGCACUUUCAGUGGGGAGGAAAAGUUCAAAAUUAAUACUUUUGAGCCUUGACGUUACCUGCAGAAGAAGCACCGGCAAACUCCGUGCCAGCAGCCGCGGUAAUACGGAGGGUGCGAGCGUUAAUCGGAAUUACUGGGCGUAAAGCGCGCGUAGGUGGUUUGAUAAGCUAGCUGUGAAAGCCCUGGGCUCAACCUGGGAACUGCAGUUAGAACUGUCUGGCUAGAGUAUAGUAGAGGGUGGCGGAAUUUCCUGUGUAGCGGUGAAAUGCGUAGAUAUAGGAAGGAACAUCAGGGGCGAAGGCGGCCACCUGGACUAUACUGACACUGAGUUGCGAAAGCGUUGGAAGCAAACAGGUUUAGAUACCCUGGUAGUCCACGCCGA